UACGUAGGGUGCAAGCGUUAAUCGGAAUUACUGGGCGUAAAGCGUGCGCAGGCGGUGAUGUAAGACAGAUGUGAAAUCCCCGGGCUCAACCUGGGAACUGCAUUUGUGACUGCAUCGCUGGAGUGCGGCAGAGGGGGAUGGAAUUCCGCGUGUAGCGGUGAAAUGCGUAGAGAUGUGGAGGAACACCGAUGGCGAAGGCAGCCUCCUGGGCCAGCACUGACGCUCAUGCACGAAAGCGUGGGGAGCAAACAGG
rnacentral:rRNA from 1 species